GCCAGCAGCCAUAUCACCCUGCAACUCACCACUGGCAGCCCCACUGGAGCUCAGCAGGUGGGAGCCUGGUCAGUACCUGGAUGGGAGACCUCCUGGGGAAAAAGCUCAGGCUGCUGCUGGAA
rnacentral:rRNA from 1 species